AGGUAAGCUACUAAGAGCGAAUGGUGGAUGCCUUGACUGGUAAAGGCGAUGAAGGACGUACUAGACUGCGAUAAGCUACGGGGAGCUGUCAAGAAGCUUUGAUCCGUAGAUUUCCGAAUGGGGCAACCCAAUGUAUAGAGAUAUACAUUACCUAUAUAGGAGCGAACGAGGGGAAUUGAAACAUCUUAGUACCCUCAGGAAAAGAAAUCAAUAGAGAUUGCGUCAGUAGCGGCGAGCGAAAGCGCAAGAGGGCAAACCCAGUGCUUGCACUGGGGGUUGUAGGACUGCAAUGUGCAAGAGCUGAGUUUAGCAGAACAUUCUGGAAAGUAUAGCCAUAGAGGGUGAUAGUCCCGUAUGCGAAAAACAAAGCUUAGCUAGCAGUAUCCUGAGUAGGGCGGGACACGAGGAAUCCUGUCUGAAUCCGGGUCGACCACGAUCCAACCCUAAAUACUAAUACCAGAUCGAUAGUGCACAAGUACCGUGAGGGAAAGGUGAAAAGAACUGAGGUGAUCAGAGUGAAAUAGAACCUGAAACCAUUUGCUUACAAUCAUUCAGAGCACUAUGUAGCAAUACAGUGUGAUGGACUGCCUUUUGCAUAAUGAGCCUGCGAGUUGUGGUGUCUGGCAAGGUUAAGCAAACGCGAAGCCGUAGCGAAAGCGAGUCUGAAUAGGGCGCUUAGUCAGAUGCUGCAGACCCGAAACGAAGUGAUCUAUCCAUGAGCAAGUUGAAGCUAGUGUAAGAACUAGUGGAGGACUGAACCCAUAGGCGUUGAAAAGCCCCAGGAUGACUUGUGGAUAGGGGUGAAAGGCCAAUCAAACUUCGUGAUAGCUGGUUCUCUCCGAAAUAUAUUUAGGUAUAGCGUUGUGUCGUAAUAUAAGGGGGUAGAGCACUGAAUGGGCUAGGGCAUACACCAAUGUACCAAACCCUAUCAAACUCCGAAUACCUUAUAUGUAAUCACAGCAGUCAGGCGGCGAGUGAUAAAAUCCGUCGUCAAGAGGGAAACAACCCAGACUACCAGCUAAGGUCCCUAAAUCUUACUUAAGUGGAAAACGAUGUGAAGUUACUUAAACAACCAGGAGGUUGGCUUAGAAGCAGCCAUCCUUUAAAGAAAGCGUAAUAGCUCACUGGUCUAGUGAUUUUGCGCGGAAAAUAUAACGGGGCUAAAGUAAGUACCGAAGCUGUAGACUUGCACACAACUUAGAUUAUUUAAGUUUAGAAUAAGUAGUUUAAGUUGUGUGCAAGUGGUAGGAGAGCGUUCUAUUUGCGUCGAAGGUAUACCGGUAAGGAGUGCUGGAGCGAAUAGAAGUGAGCAUGCAGGCAUGAGUAGCGAUAAUUAAUGUGAGAAUCAUUAACGCCGUAAACCCAAGGUUUCCUACGCGAUGCUCGUCAUCGUAGGGUUAGUCGGGUCCUAAGUCGAGUCCGAAAGGGGUAGACGAUGGCAAAUUGGUUAAUAUUCCAAUACCAACAUUAGUGUGCGAUGGAAGGACGCUUAGGGCUAAGGGGGCUAGCGGAUGGAAGUGCUAGUCUAAGGUCGUAGGAGGUUAUACAGGCAAAUCCGUAUAACAAUACUCCGAGAACUGAAAGGCUUUUUGAAGUCUUCGGAUGGAUAGAAGAACCCCUGAUGCCGUCGAGCCAAGAAAAGUUUCUAAGUUUAGCUAAUGUUGCCCGUACCGUAAACCGACACAGGUGGGUGGGAUGAGUAUUCUAAGGCGCGUGGAAGAACUCUCUUUAAGGAACUCUGCAAAAUAGCACCGUAUCUUCGGUAUAAGGUGUGGUUAGCUUCGUACUAGGAUUUACUCCGAAAGCGAAGAAACUUACAACAAAGAGUCCCUCCCGACUGUUUACCAAAAACACAGCACUCUGCUAACUCGUAAGAGGAUGUAUAGGGUGUGACGCCUGCCCGGUGCUCG
rnacentral:rRNA from 1 species